rnacentral:rRNA from 1 species
AGUGAACGCUGGCGGUAGGCCUAACACAUGCAAGUCGAACGGCAGCACAGUAAGAGCUUGCUCUUACGGGUGGCGAGUGGCGGACGGGUGAGGAAUACAUCGGAAUCUACUUUUUCGUGGGGGAUAACGUAGGGAAACUUACGCUAAUACCGCAUACGACCUACGGGUGAAAGCAGGGGAUCUUCGGACCUUGCGCGAUUGAAUGAGCCGAUGUCGGAUUAGCUAGUUGGCGGGGUAAAGGCCCACCAAGGCGACGAUCCGUAGCUGGUCUGCGAGGAUGAUCAGCCACACUGGAACUGAGACACGGUCCAGACUCCUACGGGAGGCAGCAGUGGGGAAUAUUGGAAAAUGGGCGCAAGCCUGAUCCAGCCAUACCGCGUGGGUGAAGAAGGCCUUCGGGUUGUAAAGCCCUUUUGUUGGGAAAGAAAAGCAGCAGGUUAAUACCCCGCUGUUCUGACGGUACCCAAAGAAUAAGCACCGGCUAACUUCGUG